CAGCAGUGGGGAUAUUGCACAAUGGGCGCAAGCCUGAUGCAGCCAUGCCGCGUGUGUGAAGAAGGCCUUCGGGUUGUAAAGCACUUUCAGUCAGGAGGAAAGGUUAGUAGUUAAUACCUGCUAGCUGUGACGUUACUGACAGAAGAAGCACCGGCUAACUCCGUGCCAGCAGCCGCGGUAAUACGGAGGGUGCGAGCGUUAAUCGGAAUUACUGGGCGUAAAGCGUACGCAGGCGGUUUGUUAAGCGAGAUGUGAAAGCCCUGGGCUCAACCUGGGAACUGCAUUUCGAACUGGCAAACUAGAGUGUGAUAGAGGGUGGUAGAAUUUCAGGUGUAGCGGUGAAAUGCGUAGAGAUCUGAAGGAAUACCGAUGGCGAAGGCAGCCACCUGGGUCAACACUGACGCUCAUGUACGAAAGCGUGGGGAGCAAACGGGAUUAGAUACCCCGGUAGUCCACGCCGUAAACGAUGUCUACUAGAAGCUCGGGUCCUCGGACUUGUUUUUCAAAGCUAACGCAUUAAGUAGACCGCCUGGGGAGUACGGCCGCAAGGUUAAAACUCAAAUGAAUUGACGGGGCCCC
rnacentral:rRNA from 1 species